AUUGAACGCUGGCGGCAGGCCUAAAACAUGAAAGUAGAGCGAGCGGCGGACGGGUGAGUAAUAUAUUGGAAACUGCCUGAUGGAGGGGGAGCACUAAUGGAAACGGUAGCUAAUAACGCAUACCAUCAAAUGUUCCCCACUGGGAGUAGCGAGUAGGUGGGGUAACGGCUCACCUAGGAGACGAGCCCUAGCUGGUCUGAGAGGAUUACCAGCCACACUGGAACUGAGACACGGUCCAGACUCCUACGGGAGGCAGCAGUGGGGAAUAUUGCACAAUGGGCGCAAGCCUGAUGCAGCCAGGCCGCGUGUGUGAAGAAGGCCUUCGGGUUGUAAAGCACUUUCAGCGGGGAGGCGUUACCCGCAGAAGAAGCACCGGCUAACUCCGUGCCAGCAGCCGCGGUAAUAC
rnacentral:rRNA from 1 species